AAAAUGGCAAGUAUUCAAUGCACUGUCUCUAACUAACAAUGUAAAGCAAUAUUACUUUAAAGUUGACAUCAUUCAAUGUUCUUUUUUUUUAAUAGUAACUGUAUGUGUCAAUUGAAAAGUUUUGCUACUUGAAAAUAAAGUAGUUGACUGGGGUGGUGUUUUGGUACUCUUAGGUUGUACCUCUAUCACUUCCCUGCAGCUGCUUCAGUUGGUGUUUUGGUAGUCAUCUGGUCGACUGCAUGCACAGUGUUCUGAAGUUCUUCCCAUAUGGCUUUGUAGACCAUCCUCUGCCUAUUCACAGCUGAUUGUCCCUCAAAAGCUGUAGCGAUUACAUCAAUGCUGACAUGCCGACCAUCACCAUAAGCAUCUUUCACUACGACUGUGUCCGCAUCCAACUGUUCCUUGAUCUUUUUCUCCAUAGACUGCAUAAGAGGGGAAUCAAAUGAGCUACUGCCAGUAUCGCUAGUUGCUCGAAUACUGAAACUCCGAUGACCGGCGAAAGCCUCAAACUUCAACCCUAUGUGGGAAAGUUGCUUCAUCGGCCUGUAGGAACGGACUGCAAUAGAAUAGCAUUUCACCAUUGCAGAUAGACGUGGCUGAACGGAGCAGCUAAGUCGCCGGAUACAUAGCGCCGCCACGUUUGGCCUCACAAACAGAGCCUUCGUCAUCCCUACUGCUUCUUUCCCGUAUAUGGUCACAAGCAAAUUAAAAU
rnacentral:misc_RNA from 1 species